rnacentral:tRNA from 1 species
UUCCUGGUGGCUCAGACGGUAAAGCGUCUGCCUACAAUGCGGGAGACCCGGGUUCGAUCCCUGGGUUGGGAA